CUAGGUGGAGUCGUUUGUGAUUAUGUGGUAUGCCGUAGAACCGCAUCAAUGACUUUUUCGCUUUGUCAAUACGCCCCGCCCGAUAAUCAUAACGGGGGGAAUCUGGGAAAAACAACGCCCCAAUGCCCAGGAUCAAUAUCCUGAUGAAAGUUACCCCGAGCGGAAUCCGCCAGGCACCGCUAUCCGAACGGUUUCCAGUACCCAAAUUGAUGCAGUUAGCAGUUAAAAUGCCCAGUGUAUUGAAAAGCUGAUAGCAGCUAUGAGAAUCGAUUAGUUUACCCAUUCACACUCGGAAGGCAUCGUGCUAGCGAUGGAGCAAACCUUAUUAUAGCACCACGAAUAUGCCGUGGGGCGCUCUCGCUCUGAUAUAGUGGAACCAGCACCGAAAGCGCACCGACACCAAGACCCGCAACCCAACGGCCAAGAACCACCUGAUACCAUUUAGGAUAUUCGGAAGUCAUUUGAAUAAUAACACCGACAAUAAUUAUCACACAGCAACCGGACAUUGUCCACUUCCGGCCAAACCUGUCGGCAAAAGGUGCAGCAACUAAUGCUCCUAUGAGCGUUCCAAUGGAGAUCUAACAACCAAAUUAGACUACCAAAUGCCAAUUAUGACAGAAGACAAUGUUCUUAAGGAAACAUAUGCAGGGCAAACAUACCAAGGCCACAAUUAGGCCAGCGCGAACACGUGAGAAAUGAUAGGUUUCGCCAGAGGCCUCGAGCUCACCGAACCGCCUUCUGAAAUCAUCCGUCUCCAGUACGCCUGCGAUCUGGCCAGUGUCAUAUCCAAAAAUGAACCCUCCCAUCGACACGGACAAGCCCAUAACGAACGAGCGCCAUGUCAACGUAGGGAUCGGGGUAUCGACGAAGCCUUCGUCAAAUUCCACUAGGUCAUCUGAAGAAAGGUGAUUAUCUAAAGACUUCGACGGGACGCCUUUUCCUUUAACAAAAAGCUUCUCAAAUUUCGAUUCCAUGAAGAGAAUUCAGUAGCAUACAGCGCUACAUUGCUGGUCAAUUUUUCCUGAGGAGCAGGAAGAAGAGAGAAAUACUUCUGGGCAAGGCGAUGCGUACUGAACCUAAACACUAGGCAGGACCAUGGUACUACUGCCAUGAAUUGAAUGAAUUGAACAGUCAAUCUCAACUUUGAAACAAGACGACAGUUAGUGAAUCUAUAUUUUUCAUCUCCGUUUGUCCCUUCUCUCGGAGGCCGCUGAGUAUACGACACAAACAACUGCUAUAUCUUUAAUAUAGUAGUAGUGACCUACUGUUCAGCUAUAGAGCUCAGUUUUUCGCAAUAUCAACAACCAGAAA
rnacentral:sRNA from 1 species